rnacentral:tRNA from 3 species
GCCCAGGUAGCUCAGUGGUAGAGCACCCCCUUGGUAAGGGGGAGGUCGUGAGUUCAACUCUCAUCCUGGGCU